UAAAAUGGGAGGUAAAUUUCUCCUAUGGCUAAAUAACGGCGAGAGACCGAUAGCGAACAAGUACCGUGAGGGAAAGAUGAAAAGAACUAUGAAAAGAGAGUUAAACAGUACGUGAAAUUGUUGAAAGGGAAACGAUUGAAGCCAGUCGUACCUUCGGGUAAUCAGCCUUUUCGGGUGCGAUUCUGUGGGGUUUGAUGAGCUUAACACCUUCAUGCUCUGCAUAUUCGUGCUCUUGGGUGUACUUGCCCGUGUGGUUGGUUAACAUCAAUUUUGGUGGUCAUAAAAUGACUGGAGGAAUGUAGCUUCGAUCUUGUAUUGAAGUGUUAUAGCCUUCGGUAGAUGUGAUGAUCGAGAUUGAGGAUUGCAACGGAUACCCUUCGGGGCUACCUGUCUGAUCUCUGAUCGUUGCUCUGGUGCCGAAAGCUUGCUUACGGUUAUCAAAGUCGAUGGUCAAUAGGUUAGAAUGGGUUAA
rnacentral:rRNA from 1 species